rnacentral:pre_miRNA from 1 species
AGUGGGGUUGCUGGGUCAUAUAGUAAGCAUUUCCAUUCCAGGUUUUUUGAGGACCCUCCACACUGCUUUCCAGAGUGUUUGUACUAACUUUCAGUCCCACCAGCAAU